CUUCCGUAGGGGAACCUGCGGAAGGAUCAUUACCGAGUGAGGGCCCUCUGGGUCCAACCUCCCACCCGUGUUUAUUUUACCUUGUUGCUUCGGCGGGCCCGCCUUAACUGGCCGCCGGGGGGCUCACGCCCCCGGGCCCGCGCCCGCCGAAGACACCCUCGAACUCUGUCUGAAGAUUGAAGUCUGAGUGAAAAUAUAAAUUAUUUAAAACUUUCAACAACGGAUCUCUUGGUUCCGGCAUCGAUGAAGAACGCAGCGAAAUGCGAUACGUAAUGUGAAUUGCAAAUUCAGUGAAUCAUCGAGUCUUUGAACGCACAUUGCGCCCCCUGGUAUUCCGGGGGGCAUGCCUGUCCGAGCGUCAUUGCUGCCCUCAAGCCCGGCUUGUGUGUUGGGCCCCGUCCUCCGAUUUCCGGGGGACGGGCCCGAAAGGCAGCGGCGGCACCGCGUCCGGUCCUCGAGCGUAUGGGGCUUUGUCACCCGCUCUGUAGGCCCGGCCGGCGCUUGCCGAUCAACCCAAAUUUUUAUCCAGGUGACCUCGAUCAGGUAGAACCA
rnacentral:rRNA from 1 species